UACGUAGGGUGCGAGCGUUAAUCGGAAUUACUGGGCGUAAAGCGUGCGCAGGCGGUUUUGUAAGCCAGAUGUGAAAUCCCCGGGCUUAACCUGGGAAUGGCAUUUGGGACUGCAAGGCUGGAGUGUGGCAGAGGAGACUGGAAUUCCUGGUGUAGCAGUGAAAUGCGUAGAUAUCAGGAGGAACACCGGUGGCGAAGGCGACAUCCUGGACCGGUAUUGACGCUGAGGCGCGAAAGCUAGGGUAGCAAACGGG
rnacentral:rRNA from 1 species